UACGAAGGGGGCUAGCGUUGCUCGGAAUGACUGGGCGUAAAGGGCGCGUAGGCGGUCUGCUAAGUUGGAUGUGAAAACUCUGGGCUUAACCCAGAGCCUGCAUUCAAUACUGACAGGCUAGAGUUCUGGAGGGGAUAGCGGAAUUCCUGGUGUAGCGGUGAAAUGCGUAGAUAUCAGGAGGAACACCGGUGGCGAAGGCGGCAUCCUGGACCGAGAUUGACGCUGAUGCGCGAAAGCCAGGGGAGCAAACGGG
rnacentral:rRNA from 1 species